rnacentral:lncRNA from 1 species
GGAAAACAAUGCAACACAAUCAAAUGCCUAAAGCCUUCCCCGGCAACGGCGCCAAAAUUUGACUCAACCCAAAACACCUAAUGGAUUGACUCGCAAUCGUACGAGGUCGUCCUAGUGUAAUAAGCUAACCCAAGUCGUCUCUCAAGGAAGGCUAAACAGGGCUUUGAUCAUGCUACGCACAGAAAACAAGAAAUAAACCUAAACACUCUAAUCAGGUAAUUGGGUCUGUCACUAACUCGCUCUCUAAUCACCAAGGCAUAAACAGAAAGGAACAAUAAACAUUAACUAAGGUAGAAAACAUAUAAGGACUAAAACAUGACAUUUGAACAUUAAUGAAAUCAACUAGAGUUUCAAACUCAAACACUAAACCAAACAAUCAUAAACUCAUAAACAUCAAAGAUUAAUUACUACCUAGGCAAU